UACGAAGGGGGCAAGCGUUGUUCGGAGUUACUGGGCGUAAAGGGUGUGUAGGCGGUUGUUUUAGUUUGGUGUGAAAUCUCCCGGCUCAACUGGGAGGGUGCGCCGAAUACUGAAUGACUAGAGUGCGGGAGAGGUGAGUGGAAUUCCUGGUGUAGCGGUGAAAUGCGUAGAUAUCAGGAGGAACACCGGUGGUGUAGACGGCUCACUGGACCGUAACUGACGCUGAGACACGAAAGCGUGGGUAGCAAACAGG
rnacentral:rRNA from 1 species